CAGGGUAUUGUAACGCCCCUUCUUGCGUUUACAAGCACAUAAUUUGCAUGUACAGAACAUUCAUGUAUUUUAAGAAUUAACUGCAACAUAGAGGUUCCUCCUUGUGGCAUACUCUUCCGAAUAUAGUGAUGACCUAAGGCCUUUGAGGUCACCAUGGACUGGACAUCCUUCCGUCACCUGUAACUAGGCAAACUCAAAUACCACAAGAAGCUGAAUACAUUCAGGCCUUUGCUCAGCUACUAUUUUACUGUACCAAUAUACUCAGCAUAUGAGUUAUGAUACAUAUAUUUAACUCAAUCAUUUUAAAGUAGUUAUAACUGCACCUGUAAUAAACAUGUUAAUAUUUGAUUAUGAUAACCCUAUAAUAUAAAUUAUAACAUAAUGCCAGCAGCUUCAAUAAAUGCUUGGAUGAAAUGAUAAUUAAUGCAAUGACAAGAUGAUGGUUAUGUAAAAUAAUCCCUAUAAUUCUACAAUUCCCCCUUUUGACGUCUUCCAAAGACGUCACUACACUAUUCCCAGGUCCACUACCUUCGCUCUGACCCUCUCUCUGCUACACCUUACUAACCUACUGUGUUCAUCUCAGGUUCCUGUCAUUAUUCAAAGUUGGUUCCCAAUAUCAUAUCAGGCAAAAUCACAAACCCUACUGCCACGUCUGCUUUGUUAAGCUCUUCAGUUAGAUUCUGUACCGGUUUGCCACUCCGUGUGUACAUGUCUCUACACUUUUAAUGUCUAAAUGCACAUCUGGAUGUAUGUGCACUUGUACAUUAAAAGUGUAGAGACAUGUACACACAGAUUGGCAAACCGGUACAGAGUCUAGCUGAAGAGCUUAACAAAGUAGACGUGGCAGUAGGGUUUGUGAUUUGGCCUGAUAUGAUAUUGUGAACCAACUUUGAAUAAUGACAGGAACCUGAGAUGAACACAGUAAGUUAGUAAGGUGUAGCAGAGAAAGGUUGUUUGUUUUCUAUCCCUUACAGGAGAAGAUUUCCACUAGAGAGGGACCCAGAAAGGAGCAGAGACCACUUAAGCAUGAAGUGUUUUCAAGUGGGAGCUGGUGUUUUAUUGCUGGACCACCUAGAGGACAUGAGGUUGUUGUCGGAUUUGCUGAGUCAGGGGGCGGCUAGAGAGGGUCAGAGCGAAGGUAGUGGACCUGGGAAUGGUGUAGUGACGUCUUUGGAAGACGUCAAAAGGGGGAAUUGUGGAAUUACAGGGAUUAUUUUACAUAACCAUCAUCUUAUCAUUGCAUUAAUUAUCAUUUCAUCGAAGUGUUUAUUGAAGUUGCUGGCAUUAUGUUAUAAUUGAUAUUAUAGGGGUUAUCCUAAUCAAAUAUUAACAUGUUUAUUACAGGUGCAGUUAUAACUACUUUAAAAUGAUUGAGUUAAAUAUAUAUGUAUCAUAACUCGUAGGCUGAGUAUAUGGGUACAGUAAAAAGUAGCUGAGCAAAGGCCUGAAUGUAUUCAGCUUCUUGUUGCAUUUGAGUUUGCUUAGUUACAGGUGACGGAAGGAUGUCCAGCCCAUGGUGACCUCAAAGGCCUUAGAUCAUCACCAUAUUCUUAAGAGUAUGCCACAAGGAGGAACCUCUAUGUUGCAG
ensembl:lncRNA